ensembl:lncRNA
ACAAAUAUAAAUUUCAUUGCAGCAAUUUUUAUGCAUCUUAUUUAAAUUAAAUAGUGUUAUAUUAUAUUUAUCGGCUUCAUACCGGCAUCUGCUCUCCGAGAUAACGAUAUUAGCAUUAGAUCACUGUGAACAGUUCGUGCAUGAUUCCUGUGAAUCGAACCCAUGACCUUGAUGUUGCAAGCAACGUGCUUUACUAGAUUAAUUUAGCAUUCUCAUAGCAUUAAAUUCUCCCAGUAAAAUGAUAAACUGAUGUGAAAAGCGUAAACAGCAAGAGGAGGGGAGCGCUUGUCAUCGAGAUUUACAUCGUUUGCAUAUUUAGUUAAUUAGUGGUUUGGUGUUGCUCUCUGUUAUUACACAGUUUACAAAACUCCCUCUAACCCUGAGUUAUGGGUUCAAAUAUAAUUCUGUCCCUGAGCCAGAACAUCAAGUUCAGGAAGUAGAACCACCUUAAACUUUCCAGACGGUCUGAUCAACAUCUAAAGAGCGAUAAGAGAAACAAAAUGAUGCACUGAUAUGAAAACAAAGAGACUAACGCCACAUACACAGCUCGUUUCCUCUCAUGGCUCUUUCACCCUGUUAAGGCACAUUUGGAGUUCUUCCUGUUGACUGGUACACUGUGUUUACAUGGCACUGCGUCCGCCUGCGGGUUUCUGUAGAUAAGCCUCCAUUGUGUCUGAGAACCUGACCUUCACAGUGUCUCCUGUCGCAUUCCUCCGCAGGUCGAUCUGCCCAAGGAAACGCUCAUCAACUUCCUGUCCCUCGAGGGUGACUGUGGUGGUUCUUUACAGCUUCUGCUGUUUUCUGCGGAGGAUUCGAUGCCAAAGAGUCCAGUCAUCAAUCAUAUUACUAACGAUUCCUGUGAAAUCACAAUUAAUUACUGUACAGUCCACAACUGAAGGAAAUAAAAUAUUUUCCUGUAUCACACGUUGUCUUGCAGUUCUUAAACAUGCAAAAAUUAAUGUACUUCUAUUAUAGUAACUAUUAGUAUUUAUUAUAGUUUAUAUUAAUAUUUUGAAUUUGCUUAUAUAUUUUUAUAUAUUAUAUAUUUUUUUACAUUUUAGUUUUUUUAAUAAACAUUACUUGUAAUUUUAGCUUUUGUUACUA